UGUAGCAGGAUGGAGCAAGGCACCGCAGAGGGUAGCAGGCUGUAGUGCAGCAAGACCACGGCGACAGCUGCAACCAAGAUCUUGGUGCCAUCCUAAUCCAUGGAAAUAUGCUGGGGGAAAAUAACAACAUAAGGACUCCGGUGAGUAAACUCUCUGAGAACUAAGUUAAGGCUUAGUGAUGUU